rnacentral:rRNA from 1 species
AGUAACGGCGAGUGACAGGGAAAAGCCCAAAUUUGUAAUCUGGCACUUUUUACAAGUGUCCGAGUUGUAAUUUGUAGAGCUGUUAUCCGUGCUGGACCAUGUACAAGUCUGUUGAAAAGCAGCAUCAUUGAAGGUGAAAAUCCUGUAGAUGAUAUGGACUACCAGUACUUUUGUGAUACGGUUUCUAAGAGUCGAGUUGUUUGGGAAUGCAGCUCAAAGUGGGUGGUAAAUUCCAUCUAAGGCUAAAUAUAAGUGAGAGACCGAUAGCAAACAAGUACCGUGAGGGAAAGAUGAAAAGAACUUUGAAAAUAGAGUUAACAGUACGUGAAAUUGCUGAAAGGGAAACGUUUGAAGUUAGUUUUGUAUUCGUUGGAUCAGCUUCGCAAGGAGUGUAUUCUGAUGAUAAGCAAGUCAACAUCAAUCUAUGAGUGCUGGAGAAGGGUUUUGAGAAUGUAGCAAUUUAAUUGUGUUAUAGCUUGAGACUUGGAUACAGUGCUUUGGAUUGAGGAACGCGUAGUAAGCUUUGAGCGGAUUCGAAAGGAUCUCCUUACUAUGGAUGUUGGUGAAAUAACUUUAAGCGACCCGUCUU